rnacentral:pre_miRNA from 1 species
UUUCCUCCGCAGUUGAGAUGACACUGGCCUCACGAUCAAUCAAUCAGCAGAUGUAUGAGGCUAGUGUCAUCUCUCUGAGGA